rnacentral:rRNA from 1 species
AACUAUGGCCAUACCACCCUGAGCGUGCCAGACCUCAUUUGACCUCAGAAACUAAGAAGGGUUGGGCCCGCUUAGUAC